AUUAAUAUGAAAAAUAUUAUCAUUAGAUAGAAUUAGAAGACCAUUAUUAAUAACGCCAUGACAAAUAAUUUCAUUAGAAAAAGAAAUUGAGCAACUAUUGCUCUUUCCAUUUAUUUCAUAACCUUGUUGCAAUAGUGACGAUACAGAAAUAAUAUUUGUAAUGAUCUUAGGCAUAUAAUAACAGUUUUCUAGCUCUAAGAUCUUUCCAGAAGGUAACUUUAACAUAUAUGUCCCUACAGCCUCUGCUUGGAUUGACUCUCCUCCAGCACCGUAGAGCU
rnacentral:lncRNA from 1 species